rnacentral:rRNA from 1 species
CCUACGGGUGGCAGCAGUGGGGAAUAUUGGACAAUGGGGGGAACCCUGAUCCAGCCAUGCCGCGUGUGUGAAGAAGGCCCUCGGGUUGUAAAGCACUUUCAGUGAGGAAGAACGCCUGGUGGUUAAUACCCAUCAGGAAAGACAUCACUCACAGAAGAAGCACCGGCUAACUCCGUGCCAGCAGCCGCGGUAAUACGGAGGGUGCGAGCGUUAAUCGGAAUUACUGGGCGUAAAGCGCGCGUAGGUGGCUUGAUAAGCCGGUUGUGAAAGCCCCAGGCUCAACCUGGGAACGGCAUCCGGAACUGUCGAGCUAGAGUGCAGGAGAGGAAGGUAGAAUUCCCGGUGUAGCGGUGAAAUGCGUAGAGAUCGGGAGGAAUACCAGUGGCGAAGGCGGCCUUCUGGACUGACACUGACACUGAGGUGCGAAAGCGUGGGUAGCAAACAGGAUUAGAUAUCCCUGUAGUC